UACAGGUGGUGCAUGGCUGUCGUCAGCUCGUGUCGUGAGAUGUUGGUUAAGUCCCGCAACGAGCGCAACCUUGUCUUAUGUUGCCAGCACGUGAUGGUGGGGACGUCGUAAGAGACUGCCGGGGUCAACUCGGAGGAAGGUGGGGACGACGUCAAGUCAUCAUGCCCCUUAUGUCCAGGGCUUCACACAUGCUACAAUGGCCAGUACAGAGGGCUGCGAGACCGUGAGGUGGAGCGAAUCCCUUAAAGCUGGUCUCAGUUCGGAUCGGGGUCUGCAACUCGACCCCGUGAAGUCGGAGUCGCUAGUAAUCGCAGAUCAGCAACGCUGCGGUGAAUACGUUCCCGGGCCUU
rnacentral:rRNA from 1 species